CCAAUAGCGUAUAUUAAAGUUGUUGCGGUUAAAAAGCUCGUAGUUGAAUUUCGGAAUUGAUGCAUCGGUCGUGCCUUAAGGGGCAUGAACUGGUGUAGCCAAUUUCUCAUCUUCUGGUGAAUUGUGAUGUUCUUAAUUGGGUGUCUCAAUGAACUGGAAUUUUUUACUUUGAAAAAAUUAGAGUGUUUAAAGCAGGCAGU
rnacentral:rRNA from 1 species